ensembl:snoRNA
AGCCUCAUUCUAGAUGAAAAUGGGCACAGAUGUUUGUAGUGUACACAGAUGGUUAAUGUGGCUACUUUGAGACACAGGUUAUGCUUCCAUUGUUGCAGGGGCGACAAUGAGACCUGUAACAUUU